CAGUGCCAGCCGGGCCCCCCCGUUGCACCCCGCAAGGGAUGCUGCAUGGGCGGUGGCCCUGGCUAAACGGCCCCACACUUGUCUAUCGACCGCGUUGUCUCGGCGGGACGUCCGCAUCGUCGGCGACCGGGGAGCCCCUGAGGUCCCCUGGCCAGCGCCCGCCCGAGUACCGUUCGAACCACUGUUUUCAGCUAGUGAAGUCUGAGAGAAUAUUUUUAAUAUUACA
rnacentral:misc_RNA from 1 species